CACACCGCCCGUCACACCAUGGGAGUGGGUUGCACCAGAAGUAGUUAGGCUAACCGCAAGGAGGCCGAUUACCACGGUGUGAUUCAUGACUGGGGUG
rnacentral:rRNA from 1 species